rnacentral:tRNA from 1 species
GCUAUUUUGACAGAAAAAUGUGAUGAUUUUAGAAGUCAUUAAUAUAUAAUUUAUUAUAUAUGUAGUA